rnacentral:rRNA from 1 species
AACUACGUGCCAGCAGCCGCGGUAAAACGUAGGAGGCGAGCGUUAUCCGGAUUUAUUGGGCGUAAAGCGCGUGCAGGCUGCUUGGAAAGUUGGAUGUGAAAUCUCCUGGCUUAACUGGGAGGGGUCGUUCAAAACUACCAAGCUAGAGAAUGGGAGAGGGAAGUGGAAUUCCGGGUGUAGUGGUGAAAUGCGUAGAUAUCCGGAGGAACACCAGUGGCGAAGGCGAUUUUCUGGCUCAAGACUGACGCUCAGACGCGAAAGCUAGGGUAGCAAACGGGAUUAGAGACCCCGGUAGUCCUAGCUGUAAACGAUGUAGACUUGGCGUUGGCGGAGUUAAAUCUGCCAGUGCCGGAGCUAACGCGUUAAGUCUACCGCCUGGGGACUACGACCGCAAGGUUAAAACUCAAAGGAAUUGACGGGGACCCGCACAAGCAGCGGAGCGUGUGGUUUAAUUCGAUGCUACACGAAGAACCUUACCAGGGUUUGACAUGCAAGUGGUAGGAAACUGAAAAGGGACCGACCCUUCGGGGAGCUUGCACAGGUGCUGCAUGGCUGUCGUCAGCUCGUGUCGUGAGAUGUUCGGUUAAGUCCGCUAACGAGCGCAACCCUCACUGUGUGUUACAUGUGUCACACGGGACUGCCGGUUUUAAGCCGGAGGAAGGUGGGGAUGACGUCAAGUCAGCAUGGCCUUUAUAUCCUGGGCUACACACACGCUACAAUGGUCGGUACAAUAGGUUGCCAAGCCGCGAGGCGGAGCCAAUCCAUAAAGCCGGCCUCAGUUCAGAUUGUAGGCUGCAACUCGCCUGCAUGAAGAUGGAGUUGCUAGUAACCGCAGGUCAGCGAUACUGCGGUGAAUACGUUCCCGGGUCUUGUACACACCGCCCGUCACGUCAUGGAAGCUGGCAACACCUGAAGCCGGUAUCCUAACCGCAAGGAAGGAGCCGUCGAAGGUGGGGUCGGUGACUGGGACGAAGUCGUAACAAGGUAGGUGUACCGGAAGGUGCGCCUG